AUCACGGAUACCACACUGGGUCAUCAAACCACCCUGUGAUGCCACAGAUGUCCCCUUCACCACAGCAGACAGCCUGGCCUCAAAAAGAACUUUCAUGCAGCCCAGACUACAUCUCAGAAGUCAGAGGGGAUGCUCCUGCUGUCUCCCCUGGGUGUCCAACUGAUCUCGUGGCCAAGGGUGAGGGUGCAAGGGUGCCUGCCCACGGGGCUCAGCAGAGCAAACCUGCCACAGAAUCUGCAGGGAAGGAGCAUUGGAGCUCAUCAUCAGGCUUGUGUAGUUGCUCCCAGAUGCAGCAUGGCAUGAACAGCAACAGAAGAAUUUGAGUAUUCCUCAUCGAAAACCUAUCAAGAAGGCUGUGCUCUGAGAUGUCA